rnacentral:rRNA from 1 species
AACGAACGCUGGCGGCAUGCCUAACACAUGCAAGUCGAACGAGAUCUUCGGGUCUAGUGGCGCACGGGUGCGUAACGCGUGGGAAUCUGCCCUUUGGUUCGGAAUAACAGUUGGAAACGACUGCUAAUACCGGAUGAUGACGAAAGUCCAAAGAUUUAUCGCCAGAGGAUGAGCCCGCGUAGGAUUAGCUAGUUGGUGUGGUAAAGGCGCACCAAGGCGACGAUCCUUAGCUGGUCUGAGAGGAUGAUCAGCCACACUGGGACUGAGUCACGGCCCAGACUCCUACGGGAGGCAGCAGUGGGGAAUAAUGGACAAUGGGCGAAAGCCUGAUCCAGCAAUGCCGCGUGAGUGAUGAAGGCCUUAGGGUUGUAAAGCUCUUUUACCCGGGAUGAUAAUGACAGUACCGGGAGAAUAAGCUCCGGCUAACUCCGUGCCAGCAGCCGCUGUAA